CCGGCCGGUUCAAUGAGGACCGUAUUGUAAUUCUCAUUUUAACUUUGGGGUCAACGGAAUUCACUCACAGUGUGCUCUUCUCCGCUUUAUAACAACAGUGGCCGCCGUCGAACCGUCGUCUCAUCUAGAGCUUGGGGGGUAUCGGCCAUGGCUCUCCGGACCCUCUUCACCAAGAAAUCCCUAACCCUAGCUUCCGCCUUCCGCCCCAUUGCCGUCGUAUCUGCCGCUGGAGACGAGCGCCUUGGAUCGGGUCUCUCGCAGGCCCGGGGCCUCACGGUCGCCGCACUCCCGGACCUCCCCUACGACUACGGCGCCCUCGAGCCCGCCAUCAGCGGCGAAAUCAUGAGGCUCCACCACCAGAAGCAUCAUCAGGCGUACGUCACCAACUACAACAACGCACUCGAGCAGCUCGAGGCGGCGAUCGCGAAGGGGGACGCCACCGCGGUCGUCCGGCUCCAGAGCGCCAUCAAAUUCAAUGGCGGAGGUCAUAUCAACCACUCGAUCUUCUGGAAAAAUCUCAAGCCUGUGAAUGAAGGUGGAGGUGAGCCUCCACACAGUUCCCUUGGGUGGGCAAUCGACACAGACUUUGGUUCUUUGGAGGCUCUGGUGCAGAAAAUGAAUGCAGAGGGUGCUGCUUUGCAGGGUUCUGGCUGGGUGUGGCUAGCUUUGGAUAAGGGGUUUAAGAAGCUCACUGUCGAAACCACUGCAAAUCAGGAUCCACUAGUGACCAAAGGUGCAAACUUGGUUCCUUUGCUAGGUAUUGAUGUGUGGGAACACGCAUACUACCUGCAGUACAAAAAUGUGAGGCCAGACUAUCUGAAGAACAUAUGGAAGGUUAUAGACUGGAAAUAUGCUAGCGAAGUGUAUGAGAAGGAGACCGCCUGAUGUAUCACCUUUCUAUUCCCUGGGUGAAUUUUCCGGCAUGUAAUUCCCCCAUUGUGUUUACUUAGAGGACUUCUGUAUCCAAAAAAGAAUAAGGAGGGCCUGUCCUGUCUCGGACGCAGAUCGACUCCGUCGGCGGAAGGUAUUGUUGACUACUACUAUGAAUCAAAAGAGUUAGGGACUCGAUGCAUCUCCAGCAUUACUAGGCUCCUGUCUUUUGCUUUUGUAGGGCUACAUAUGCCAUCGCUACUCCCUCUGCUGCGUGUAUAUUGCUUUAUUUGCGGGUAUAUAGUUCGUAUGCAGAUCAUGUGAGCAAGCCAUUACUGAUAAUGAACAUACAUAUGUUAUAUCGAGGGUUUCAAUCAUUCAUAUCUGAAAAGGAGAUUGGAAUACUCACCAUCGAGUCGAAUUAAGUAAUUGAGUUCAUUUCCAAUCUCGAAUAUGAGGAGAGACUUGAAACAGUUCUUGGAGAAUCCUUGAAUACUGUGUGGAGGAUGUUAUGUUGCAGCUGAAAUAUGCCACAUUGAUCAGAAUGUACUUCGGUGUAUUUUGUUCCACCAAUCCCACUACGAACUCUUGUUCCUGCUACAUUUCAUGAAUAGCAACAACUUCUCUCACCUUUUUAACUUUGAAGGGAAGAAAAGAAGGUAAAAGAGAACUCAGCCAAUCCUUUCAGGCCUAAAGCACUUAAUUCCAUACAGAGAGCUGCAGAAAUGGCAGGCAAAACAGCAUACUGAAACUUUGGCAAGCCUUCUCGCUGCUGCCAGGAGAAACGGAAAACUCUCCAAACCCCAAACAUGUCUUUGUAGAUGGAGAGGAAGCAACAAAAAAAUGAGGACUGGCGCUAUGUUUUCAGCAUCAUUUGGCCGCAUGUGCUUCUCUGCUAUGCUAGCUUGUGAACCUCUCUUUCUUUCUUCUUGGUAUUCAGGGUCCGUUGGUUUCCUGCACACUCUGAGCCUCCUGUUGGCUACCACUGGUCAUUAAGGAUGCUUCACCCGAUGGAGAAGUGUGGUGAGAGAUGAAUCUCUCAUGUUCAUCAUUCUAUGUUGGCUGUUCUUUGCAGAAAUGAAAGGCAACUAUCUCUUUGCCAUGAUAUGCUUGAAA